UGUGUGUGUGUGUGUGUGUGUGUGUGUGUGUGUGUGUGUGUGUGUACCAAGUGUCCAUGUAUUUAUUAUCACACUCAAAGGUUUGGGAAUAAACACUUCUUUUUGCUCAAAUGCUGUGUGGUUCUGUAACUUCAAAGUCAUGUAUGUUCUCCUCUGUGUCCUUUUCGCAUACGUAUCCUGGCAUUGAAAUAGAACAACCUCCAGGUUUACGAUGUCUAAGGUAUUUCUGCUUCCCUCAACAGUAAAUCACACGCCAUCUCAAGUUUUGUGUCCACAGAGACUCUAAAUCUCCAAGACACUGAUGGUGCCUCUAUGUAAAUAGAAAAUAUUAUUCCUCAGAAAGAAAACAGCUUGAUUCUGUUUGCUCAUCAUCAAAAUUCACCACAAGAUGCAACGUUGGCCUUUUUAUAUGGCAACCUAAAACCCAGUGGCAUGUAAUUCUAUGCGCUAUUAAGUUUCCACUGAAGACUUGAGUGGCAAAUGUUAUAGGAAUAGUACUUAGUACCAUUUAAGUACUCUGUUCUGGCUUGGGAGUUUUUAACUCAAUGUUUAUGCAUUUGUGUUUGUGUAUCUGCAGAUUUUCUGGCUCCAGUUGCGUCUGUGCACAGGAGUGUUGUAAUAUUGUCCGUGUGUGUCUAAUGGACUUGUCUAAUGCAGAAAGGAUGUGGGCCUAAUCUGACACAACAAUCUGUUUCACAGUCUCGGGAGUUUGUAAAGAGAGACCACAAAAAGGAUCAGGUAAACGUGACAAGGUGAACCAAGUUUGCACAUAUUAAAUGAAACAAAGGAAGGAGACCUGGUUACUGGAAGGAAACGUGUUGAAGGAAGAGAGUAGGGCAGGUAGCGGGCGUGAAGAAAGCGCGCCCUCCUGACUGCAGCUGCUCCACUGCAGUCUCAACGUGGAGUUGAAUUCAUCUCUAAUGCUUAAUACAAACACAGUUUGAAGUGGAAGUGAGUGCAACAUUCAGCUCUUCGCGAUGCACACGCAGAGUUGUU